AUUGAACGCUGGCGGCAGGCCUAACACAUGCAAGUCGAGCGGUAGAGAGGUGCUUGCAUCUCUUGAGAGCGGCGGACGGGUGAGUAAUGCCUAGGAAUCUGCCUAGUGGUGGGGGGAUAACGUUCGGAAACGGACGCUAAUACCGCAUACGUCCUACGGGAGAAAGCGGGGGAUCUUCGGACCUCGCGCCAUUAGAUGAGCCUAGGUCGGAUUAGCUAGUUGGUGAGGUAAUGGCUCACCAAGGCGACGAUCCGUAACUGGGUCUGAGAGGAUGAUCAGUCACACUGGAACUGAGACA
rnacentral:rRNA from 1 species